UGGGCGACCUGCCCUCAGCUCUGGGAUAACCCCGGGAAACCGGGGCUAAUACCGGAUACGACCUCCGCGGGCAUCUGCGGAGGUGGAAAGGUUUUCCGGCUGAGGAUGGGCCCGCGGCCUAUCAGCUAGUUGGUGAGGUAACGGCUCACCAAGGCGACGACGGGUAGCUGGUCUGAGAGGAUGGCCAGCCACAUUGGGACUGAGACACGGCCCAGACCUCCGUACGGGAGCA
rnacentral:rRNA from 1 species